AGAGCGAACGCUGGCGGCAGGCCUAACACAUGCAAGUCGAGCGGCCGUAGCAAUACGGCAGCGGCAGACGGGAGAGUAACACGUGGGAACGCGCCCUUCGGUUCGGAAUAACUCAGGGAAACUUGGGCUAAUACCGGAUACGCCCUUACGGGGAAAGAUUUAUUGCCGAAGGAACGGCCCGCGUCCGAUUAGCUUGUUGGUGAGGUAACGGCUCACCAAGGCGACGAUCGGUAGCUGGUCUGAGAGGAUGACCAGCCUCACUGGGACUGAGACACGGCCCAGACUCCUACGGGAGGCAGCAGUGGGGAAUAUUGGACAAUGGGCGCAAGCCUGAUCCAGCCAUGCCGCGUGAGUGAUGAAGGCCCUAGGGUUGUAAAGCUCUUUGUGCGGGAAGAUAAUGACGGUACCGCAAGAAUAAGCCCCGGCUAACUUCGCGCCAGCAGCCGC
rnacentral:rRNA from 1 species